rnacentral:rRNA from 1 species
UACGUUCCCGGACCUUGUACACACCGCCCGUCAAGCCAUGGAAGUUGGGAGGACCUGAAGGCAGUUGCUGUAAGGCGCUGUUUAGGGUUAAACCAAUGACUGGGGCU